rnacentral:rRNA from 1 species
AACGAACGCUGGCGGCAGGCCUAAAACAUGCAAGUCGAACGCUCUAGCAAUAGAGAGUGGCGCACGGGUGAGUAACGCGUGGGAAUGUGCCCCUUAGUACGGGACAACGUUGGGAAACUGACGCUAAUACCGUAUAAUAUCUCAGGAUCAAAGAUUUAUCGCUGAGGGAGCAGCCCGCGUCUGAUUAGCUAGUUGGUGAGGUAAUGGCUCACCAAGGCUACGAUCAGUAGCAGGUCUGAGAGGAUGAUCUGCCACACUGGGACUGAGACACGGCCCAGACUCCUACGGGAGGCAGCAGUUAGGAAUAUUGGACAAUGGGCGAAAGCCUGAUCCAGCCAUGCCGCGUGUGUGAUGAAGGCCCUAGGGUUGUAAAGC